UUAAGCGACUAAGCGUACACGGUGGAUGCCCUGGCAGUCAGAGGCGAUGAAGGACGUGCUAAUCUGCGAAAAGCGUCGGUAAGGUGAUAUGAACCGUUAUAACCGGCGAUGUCCGAAUGGGGAAACCCAGUGCAAUUCGUUGCACUAUCGUUAACUGAAUACAUAGGUUAACGAGGCGAACCGGGGGAACUGAAACAUCUAAGUACCCCGAGGAAAAGAAAUCAACCGAGAUUCCCCCAGUAGCGGCGAGCGAACGGGGAGCAGCCCAGAGUCUGAAUCAGCUUGUGUGUUAGUGGAACGGUCUGGAAAGUCCGACGGUACAGGGUGAUAGUCCCGUACACCAAAAUGCACAGGUUGUGAACUCGAAGAGUAGGGCGGGACACGUGGUAUCCUGUCUGAAUAUGGGGGGACCAUCCUCCAAGGCUAAAUACUCCUGACUGACCGAUAGUGAACCAGUACCGUGAGGGAAAGGCGAAAAGAACCCCGGCGAGGGGAGUGAAAAAGAACCUGAAACCGUGUACGUACAAGCAGUGGGAGCACCUUCGGGUGUGACUGCGUACCUUUUGUAUAAUGGGUCAGCGACUUAUAUUCUGUAGCAAGGUUAACCGUAUAGGGGAGCCGCAGGGAAACCGAGUCUUAACUGGGCGUUAAGUUGCAGGGUAUAGACCCGAAACCCGGUGAUCUAGCCAUGGGCAGGUUGAAGGUUGGGUAACACUAACUGGAGGACCGAACCGACUAAUGUUGAAAAAUUAGCGGAUGACUUGUGGCUGGGGGUGAAAGGCCAAUCAAACCGGGAGAUAGCUGGUUCUCCCCGAAAGCUAUUUAGGUAGCGCCUCGUGAAUUCAUCUUCGGGGGUAGAGCACUGUUUCGGCUAGGGGGUCAUCCCGACUUACCAACCCGAUGCAAACUACGAAUACCGAAGAAUGUUAUCACGGGAGACACACGGCGGGUGCUAACGUCCGUCGUGAAGAGGGAAACAACCCAGACCGCCAGCUAAGGUCCCAAAGUCAUGGUUAAGUGGGAAACGAUGUGGGAAGGCACAGACAGCCAGGAUGUUGGCUUAGAAGCAGCCAUCAUUUAAAGAAAGCGUAAUAGCUCACUGGUCGAGUCGGCCUGCGCGGAAGAUGUAACGGGGCUAAACCAUGCACCGAAGCUGCGGCAGCGACACUAUGUGUUGUUGGGUAGGGGAGCGUUCUGUAAGCCUGCGAAGGUGACCUGUGAGGGUUGCUGGAGGUAUCAGAAGUGCGAAUGCUGACAUAAGUAACGAUAAAGCGGGUGAAAAGCCCGCUCGCCGGAAGACCAAGGGUUCCUGUCCAACGUUAAUCGGGGCAGGGUGAGUCGACCCCUAAGGCGAGGCCGAAAGGCGUAGUCGAUGGGAAACAGGUUAAUAUUCCUGUACUUGGUGUUACUGCGAAGGGGGGACGGAGAAGGCUAUGUUAGCCGGGCGACGGUUGUCCCGGUUUAAGCAUGUAGGCUGAUUGUCCAGGCAAAUCCGGAUAAUCAAGGCUGAGGUGUGAUGACGAGGCACUACGGUGCUGAAGUAACAAAUGCCCUGCUUCCAGGAAAAGCCUCUAAGCAUCAGGUAACAUCAAAUCGUACCCCAAACCGACACAGGUGGUCAGGUAGAGAAUACCAAGGCGCUUGAGAGAACUCGGGUGAAGGAACUAGGCAAAAUGGUGCCGUAACUUCGGGAGAAGGCACGCUGGUGUGUAGGUGAAGCCCCUGCGGGUGGAGCUGAGACCAGUCGAAGAUACCAGCUGGCUGCAACUGUUUAUUAAAAACACAGCACUGUGCAAACACGAAAGUGGACGUAUACGGUGUGACGCCUGCCCGGUGCCGGAAGGUUAAUUGAUGGGGUUAUCCGUAAGGAGAAGCUCUUGAUCGAAGCCCCGGUAAACGGCGGCCGUAACUAUAACGGUCCUAAGGUAGCGAAAUUCCUUGUCGGGUAAGUUCCGACCUGCACGAAUGGCGUAAUGAUGGCCAGGCUGUCUCCACCCGAGACUCAGUGAAAUUGAACUCGCUGUGAAGAUGCAGUGUACCCGCGGCAAGACGGAAAGACCCCGUGAACCUUUACUAUAGCUUGACACUGAACAUUGAGCCUUGAUGUGUAGGAUAGGUGGGAGGCUUUGAAGCGUGGACGCCAGUCUGCGUGGAGCCAACCUUGAAAUACCACCCUUUAAUGUUUGAUGUUCUAACGUUGGCCCCUGACCGGGGUUGCGGACAGUGUCUGGUGGGUAGUUUGACUGGGGCGGUCUCCUCCCAAAGCGUAACGGAGGAGCACGAAGGUUAGCUAAUCCUGGUCGGACAUCAGGAGGUUAGUGCAAUGGCAUAAGCUAGCUUGACUGCGAGCGUGACGGCGCGAGCAGGUGCGAAAGCAGGUCAUAGUGAUCCGGUGGUUCUGAAUGGAAGGGCCAUCGCUCAACGGAUAAAAGGUACUCCGGGGAUAACAGGCUGAUACCGCCCAAGAGUUCAUAUCGACGGCGGUGUUUGGCACCUCGAUGUCGGCUCAUCACAUCCUGGGGCUGAAGUAGGUCCCAAGGGUAUGGCUGUUCGCCAUUUAAAGUGGUACGCGAGCUGGGUUUAGAACGUCGUGAGACAGUUCGGUCCCUAUCUGCCGUGGGCGCUGGAGAAUUGAGGGGGGCUGCUCCUAGUACGAGAGGACCGGAGUGGACGCAUCACUGGUGUUCGGGUUGUCAUGCCAAUGGCACUGCCCGGUAGCUAAAUGCGGAAGAGAUAAGUGCUGAAAGCAUCUAAGCACGAAACUUGCCCCGAGAUGAGUUCUCCCUGAGACUAUAAGUCUCCUGAAGGAACGUUAAAGACGAUGACGUUGAUAGGCCGGGUGUGUAAGCGCAGCGAUGCGUUGAGCUAACCGGUACUAAUGAACCGUGAGGCUUAACCUU
rnacentral:rRNA from 1 species